rnacentral:lncRNA from 1 species
GGUUGUUUUUUAAUUUUCUUCACUUGAUAACUGCAGCAAUUUUUGAGACUGUAAGGAGAAAGGAAGCAAUCAAAGAAGGAUAUUUGAAUGAUACUCAUGGAGUGUUGAAAAUGUCUGCAAUGUGGCUUGCACCUCAACUUUGUUUGGCUGGUAUAGCAGAAAUGUUCAAUGUUAUUGGCCAGAAUGAGUUUUAUUACAAAGAGUUUCCAAAGAGUAUGUCUAGUGUUGCUGCUUCCCUUUCUGGAUUGGCAAUGGGUGUAGGAAACUUGGUAUCCUCUUUAGUAUUGAGCAUUAUAGAAAGCACUACUCCAAGUGGAGGAAAUGAAGGGUGGGUUUCUGAUAAUAUUAACAAAGGUCAUUUCGACAAGUAUUAUUGGGUUAUAGUUGGAAUUAAUGCUCUAAAUCUAUUGUAUUACUUAGUAUGCAGUUGGGCUUAUGGACCUACAGUUGAUGAAGUAUCCAAUGUGAGUAAAGAAAAUGGUUCCAAAGUGGAAGAAUCAACUGAAUUCAAGCAUAUGAAUCCACACUUUGAUGACAAGGUUAGUGGUGAAACUAGUUCAAAGGAGAAAGAGUUAACUGAAUUCAAGAAUGGGGCCCAGGUUGAGAAAGUAUUCAAGAAUAGUGAACAAAGGGACUUGAAGGAGGAAGAUUUGUGAUAGAAGGCUUAUAUUUCGUCCAAUUCAUUUGGAGAAAUGUUAUAAACGCUUUUUUUAACACUCCUAACACCUCAUCUUUUAUUUGAUGAAAUUCACGUGGGACUCAUCAUUGUAUGAGGGAUUCAUUUUUAAAGCGUGGGAUCAACAUGUGUUUCAUCCAAUAAUAAAAUGGUGUUAGAGAGUGUUAGAAGAAUGUGUCCAUAACACUUCUCAUUCAUGAAUCUUUUUUAGGAAUUUUAGUUAGCAUAUUUUUUAUUUUAUUUUGGUAUAUUGUUAGUUAUUUUUGAAUUCUUAGGUUCUAAGAUUUUCUUAUGGGCUUUAAGAUUAUGACACAUGGAUGUGAUCAUUUAUUUAGAUUAGUAAGUAUUGUUAAUAAAUUUGAUUUGAUAUCUUUAUCAAUAUAGCAUUUGAUAUUAUAUAUAUAUAUAUAUAUAUAUAUAUAUAUUAUUCUGUCACUUACACCUAAUUAGAAAGAAUAAUAAUGAAUACUCCAUUGUCUAAUUUAUUUAAUAUAUUUUAGGAAAGUAAAUUAUUUACAACAAGGGAUGAAAUCAAUUCUUAAUUAACUUGUCAAAAAAAUCAAUUCUUAAUUAACAUCUUCAAAUUGAUGUGGUUGGUAAAUAAGCAUCAAUUUGCUAACAAGAAAUUGAUAACACCGGUGUCAAUAACCACCUUGCUAUUAAGUAGUCAUCAUGAGUGUCACGUUGAUUGACAAACGACUUUAAUAUGAUUGGUGCAUGCGUUCAAGAAAGAAAAGACUUUCAACAACUUGGAUGAACACUUGUGUUGUUGACUUAAAGAGAUAUCGGCCAUGUUUGAGGAAAUUCAAGUUCAACCAAAAGACCUUGAAAACAAAUUAUUUGCGAACAAGCAGCAAACAUGGCACGUUUACUCAUAUUCAGUAGAAGGUUUAGAGUCUCUUGCUUUUUACUUGUCAAUGAUAUCAAAGAAGAUCCAAGAAACAUGCACAACCCAGUGACACAUUGUUGAAUGUCAGAACACCCUCCCAGAUUAGCAUCAAGUAAGCACUCUGUUUAAGAGUUAUCCAAGUGGGAAAGAAUAUUCCACACUGAGUGGUUACUUAAAGUAGCAAAUUAUACGACGGACCAUUGUCAAAUGAAGAUGAAGAGGAAUGAUGUCAGUCUGUCAUAUUAUGUGUUUAGCAGUUAUUAGGAGUCACUUCACAAUUAUUUUAACAAGUUUAGUUGAGUUUUGUAACAAAUCAAAAGAAAGAUCAUGGAAAGGGUAAUGGUGCAUACAAAACUUUGGAACCAUGGCAAAUCACCCAAAAUAGACAACUAUGUGAUCAUGCUAUACUUUUUACUUGAUGUAUCAAAUGAUCCUUAAGGAUAUAGUCACUAUGGACGCUUUGGUGAGGAAAAAUGGAUAAAGGAAUGAAGAAAAAUAGAGGAACCGACUACUAGUACAUGCAUGAUGCGUGCUAUAAGCUGCGCGAUGCACAACUUAGGAGAAAUAAAAAAUAUUUAGUCAUUGGUACAUGUGUGAUUCAUGCUAAAAGUUGUGUGUUCUGCAACUGAAAUGAAAUCAGAAGUGUUUUGCCACUAGAGAUGCGUGAUGCACAUAAGGUUAUGUGUGUUGCGCACAUACAUUUCCGUAAAUCAAGUGACACAUGAUGAUGAUGAUAGGGAUUUGUAUUCACCUAACCCUGGCUAAUCGAUUAAUAUAUUUGUCGAUCACCUUAGUUUGUUGAUGAAUUCUCUUGCGUUGAUCUACCAAGCAUUCUUCUAUGCUAGAGGCAUGAGGCAUCUCCUACUCACAAACAUCCACAUUUUUUAAUAAAAUCAAAUACAUAAUUUUUUUUUUUUGGCAAAUCAAAUACUUGUUUUUUCCACAAGGCUAAAAUAAAACCAUGAAAAAAAAAUGAACAAAAAGAGAGCUACUCUCUCAAAAAGAAAAUUCCAUCUGCAUCACUUUGGAGGAGAUUCUGGAGGUUUACCGGAGAACACUCAUGUCGAAGAAACUCGACAUCAAAAGAGGCACUAGGCUUGGCAAAAAAAAUCCGCACAUUGAUUCCCAUCCCUAAGGGUGUGAUUGACCAUAACAUUUCCCCUGCUCCAAUAACUAUUUUAUGUCUUGGAUUAAAACGGCAUAAACAUGAAACCUCAUUGGGGGACCAUGGAGGAUGUUGAGACAAUGUAAAGAGUCAGAGUAACAAACAAAAUCAGUAAUGCCUAUUUCUUUGGCCAACAAGAGACCCUUAUAUAUGACAUAUGUAACGCCCUAUUUAUUCAUUUAAAUAUUUUGGUUGAUUUUGGUUGAUUUAAAGUCUUUUAUAUGACUUAUAUGAAUUAUGUUGAUUUUGUGGUGUGUUGUAUUUUAUUAAAUGUUAUAUUUUAUUAUUUAUUAGAAUAUGUGAGAAUUAGAAAUAAUGGGAGUUAAGUUAAGGAGUUAAGAAAUUGAGAAGUCAGAAAAACAUUUCACGUGAAAACAAGUUUUUGGGGGAGAAAAAGGGAGAAGAGCCAAGUGAAGAAUCGGAGAGAUCGUAGAGCUUCGUUUGUCAGAAUUAAUGUAAGGGUGAUACUAACUUUCAAUAAUUAUAGUGUAUGUAAAUUCUGAAAUUGAUUUAACAUGAUGGUUGUUCUUGGUUUUGGGAAUUAGGUUUUCCAUUGUUGAAUUUGAUUAGAAAAGUGUAGAAACCAUGGCAAUUGUGUUAAGAAUUGAUGUUCAAGUUGUAGAAUAAUCAUAGGUUAAGUUUCCUAUCAAAUUUGGGUUCAUGAAAAUUGGGAUUUUCGCUUGAAAGGUCGGUGUCUAAACGUUUUUGCAAAUAAGUGAUUAUGUGAGGUUUGGGAAAAUGAUUCUUGGGAUGGUUGAGACUUGAAUUUGCUGUAGAUUAAGAUAGAGCCAAGUGUCAGAAGCGUGUAGGCGAAAACGACAUCAAAUUAACGGUUUGAAUUUUACGCGCGAAAUGGUGAAAAUCGCACUUUUUGAGAAGCAGAUUUCUGGACCUGAUGCUGUCAAAACGUAUCACGAUUUUGCGAGCGUGGUACGAUUUUGUUGGCCGAAAGUUCAAUGGUUAUAAGCAUAAAAACGUGGCACGAUUUUCUAAAAUCGUGACACGAUUUUUGUGAAUCAGAUCCUUCUUAUUUCACUAUUUUUCACCCCUUUCCGCUUUGAACUGGGUUUUGGUGUAAACAUAAAAGUUUUAGAUAAUUUUGUUAGCUUUCCAAUGACUUUGGUUUGACUUGAAAAUGAUUUUUGGUUUUUGAGAUAUGAUGAAAAUACUCCAAGGAGGUCUUAGUGAAAUCUUAUGAAAAUUCAGCAUAACCGUUCUAAGUUAAUCUAAAACUUAUGGAAUAAUUCGAAACCUCAAAACUAGAAGUACCAUGAGUUCAAUUAAGGUGUUUAAGAUUAUUUAACCUAUGUUGUGAUGGAUCUAAUUUGGUUUGACGUGAAUAUCUUUGUUGGAUGAUUUAAUAUCUAUAUGAAUGUAUAUGUUGAUGAAUUUCGUUGUUAAGAGUCGUCCUAUCACAGUUGACCAAGUUGUGUAGUAAGUCAUAAUUAUUUAUGUACAAUUGUUGUUGUCGUUGUCAUUGUCUACGUUGUCGUUGAUGUUGCUGAGUUGUAUGCUGAUAUACACAAAGUUGAGUCCAUUGCAUACUCAUAAAUUGUUGAGGGCUUAUGCCCUGUGAAUGCUAGUUUAUUCAAAAAUGUUGAGGGCUUAUGCCCUGUGAAUGCCUUGUCAUUCAACACGUUAAUUUUAAGUUGAGGGCUCAUGUCUUGUCAUUCAAACUGUUGAGGGCUCAUGCCCUGUGAAUGCUCGUUCAUUCAAAUGCGUUAAAAUGGUACCACAUGCAUGUGCAUUGUCGCAUUUGUCGUUGUGUCGUUGCAUAGUCGUUGUUGUUGGUUGAGUUUGUAGGUGUUGUUAAUGUUGAUGAAAUAUGAAACAAGACUGUUGAAUUAUCCGUUGUUAAUUAGGUUGUUAAAUACAGUUGAUGAUUUAUAUACCUAUUAUUAUUGUUUGUGAAUCUCACCCCUUCUGCUUCGAAAUGUUGCUAUUCGUAUGGGUAACUUGCAGGUGAUCGAGAAUUGUUGAUGUUAGAUGAUGUCGUGAGUGGACCUUCUCUCAUGUGUGUCUUAGGUGCUCUGAUACGUAACGGGAUGAGAAUUUGUUAUCGCUUUCUGUUCCUUACGUAUUGUUUUAAGGACAUGUUGUUGGAACAAUUUUAUGAGAUUUAUGUUGAAGCCUUGGUGCCAAGUUGUUUAAAAGUUGAAUAAUUUCCGUUGCGAUGAAAUAAAUGAUACGUUGUUGAAUUUAAAGGAUGAAUAGUUAUUUAUUCUGUUUAUGAUUUUAUGAAAGAAGUGUGACAUUCCGUUUAUGUUGAAAAUACUUUGAUUUAUAUGUGAUUAUAUGUGAAAUUUUUAAGUUGGGAAAACGAGGUGUUACAACAUAGAGCUCAACAUACAAGAUAUCAUUUGAAUUUUGAAUGUAUCUAGAAAAUCCUCACAAGAAAAAAGAUGCAUAAUUUCUUAAAAUUCCUCCAUAACCUACUCUUAUAGGAGAUCCAAUACAACUUCCAUCAACAUUAAGGAUGACACAAAAAUGAUUAUUGUUGUUCCGCUUGAUGAAUUGGUCUUCAUCAGUAGUACUAAAGAUGGAAGGAUAACAAGCUUAGAGGGUAUCAACCAUACCUUGAAUGUUGAAGGAUAAUUUAGCAUUCGACCAGUUCUCGUUACCUAAGCACAUCAUGUUUCGAUUCCUCCAUGCCCACCAAAUUGUUGCUGCAAAAAGGAAAUAGUAAGGGCCCAUCAACCCAUUCUUAUGUGGUUUGUAUGGGCCAUUUAUUCAACAUUUCACGUGCCCGUCUUUCCACUCUUUUUAUUUCGCUAAUAUUUAAAAAUUAUUAACAGUAUUUUUUUUUUUUAUGAAAUUUUGAUUUGGAUUAAAACUAAAAAUAUGAAUGUUUGUUGCUUUCAAGUUAUAAUAAACUAAACUAACCAUGAUUAUUUAUUUCAAUGACACCAACAAUACAACAACAAAAAAAUAUAAUCCAAAUUCUUUUUUUUUAAUGAAACCAACAACAAUCUUUAUUAAAGAAAAAGUUGUUUAAGAGUAUAAUUGAGAUAAUGAAAAAGUAAGUAUAAAUAUACUCAUCUAGUUUGUUACACUUUUUAAAUGAUAAAGAAAAAAAAACCAUAUAUAUAUAUAUAUAUAUAUAUAUAUAUAUAUAUUCAUAUCGUGUUUUUUACAUUUUUUUAAUAUUUAAAUUUAUUCUUAUCUUUUUGUUAUGUGUUAUUUGUAUUCAAAAUUGAGGGCAUUUUUGAAAGAAAAAGUCAGCCCAAAAGAGUUGAAAAAUGAUUGUUUUAUUUUUAUAUAGCAUAGAUAUAUUACUACUCCCUUCAUCCCUGUAUGUAAGCACCCUUUGCAUUUUUCACAUUUCUUAAGCAAAAAUUGUUAGUGCAAUUAAUGCGUCUAUUUUGUGUGUUAAUAUUACUUAAUUGUCCUUUGUUUAUAUGUGUAUUAAAAUUUACUUUUUAUAUUUCAAGAUAAGUUAGUAGUAUUAAUUAUGGGUAUGUUAAGGAAUAAAAUCAUAAAUGCAUCUAAUAAUUUAAAAAAGAAUUUAUAUUUAAAGACAAAUUUUUAGUCAAAAGAAUACAGGAACAUACCACCACCUAAAAAAAAUUCUCAAAAUUUAGUGCAGGCAACGGCCUACAGACUUAUGUACAUGCAUAUGUCCCUGGUCCCAACAACCUUUUUUUUUUAGGGGACCCUACAACCUGUUAUUAUACUCCUUAAAAGAAAACCUGUUAUUAUAUCAACCAAAUGAAUGUCAAUGUUUUUUUUUUUUUGGUAAUGAAAUGUCAAUGCUUUAUUUCCUUUUACUUUUAAAUUUUGGUUAAAAUAUAAUUUUAGUCCCUUCAAAUAUGUCUCGUUUUGGUUUUAGUCCCUAUAAAAAAAAAAUGUUUUUGGUCCCUGCAAAAUUUUUUGUUUUUGAAAAUAGUCCCUGACCUCACUUUUGUGAUGAUUUGCAUACGUGGCACAUUAUAACUGAACAAAUUUUGUAGUUUUUGGUCCCUGCAAAAUAUUUUGUUUUUAAAAAAGGUCCCUGCAAAAUAUUUUGGUUUUAAAAAAGGUCCCUGCAGGGACCAAAAACAAUUUUUUUUUACAGGGACUAAAACCAAAACGAGGCAUAUUUGCAAGGGCUAAAAUCAUAUUUUAGCCUUAAAUUUUUAUUUACGUUUUUUUUUAUGAGUCAAGAUAGUAAGGAAGACAUCGAGAAAAGUUAAAUAUCUCAACUAAGUUGACACUUUAAAGCUUCUCUCAUCUUGUACCACCUGUUCGAAAAUUUUAUUAAAAAAAGAAAAACUGUAUAAGAGAGGGACUAAGCCAAAACCCUCAAAAACAUAAAACAAGAAUGGUAAAACAUAGAUAUAAGGGAAAUGGAAAUUCGGAAGACCAUGUAUGUCCCUAAAAAAAAUCCUUCCAAAGAAAAAUAGGUAAAAAAAACCCACCAAACGACAUUGAUAAUAACAUGACCAUGACUACCAGUAUUUUAAGAUGACCGUGUAUGUUAAGAUGAAUUUGGAUGACUUUUGGUUGAUGAUAUUGGGGCUUAUGAAGGUACUUUAUGUGAUUACAAAGGUUUUUUUUUAGGAUGUUUUGCAUCUAAUCUAAGACCUAUAUUCAAUCAUUGAAGCGGAAUUGAACAACAUGCUAAUGUUAUUAUUCUGUUAAAAAAAAAAAAAUUCGUACACAAGUUUUAACAUUUUUUCCUCUCUUUUCUCCUUUUCAAACUUUAGCCGUCGCGGAUUUUUUUAUUUAUUGAAAAGUGGUGAUUUAUGGUUAAUUUUGAUGCAAAUCACCCCUCUACAUUGUUUUUCUUUCUUUUAGUUAAAUAAAUGAUUUCCACAUACAUACCCUCAGACUUCAUUAGUUUAUUUUGUGAUUUCGUCGUUUUAGCACGACUUUGUUUGUUUUGAUUUUCCGUCUUUGUGCAAUGUAUUUUUUAUUUCCUAUCUGUGGUGUUUAUACGAUUUCAUGUUAAAAGAUUAGUUUUGAUCAAGUGCAGAUUCAAUCAAUGACUUUGAUAUCGUCAACGUUGCACAUCCGAGCAUAUGAGAAUUCCAUAUACUUGAAUAUAUUCAUAUAUCUUUUAGGCAUUGAAUAUAGUCAUAUUUGUAGGCAUAUCCAUUUUGCCGUUUUAUGUUAUCAACAUGGAUGAUCCUUAAAAAAACAUGGACGAUGCGAUUUUGUUUGCAAAUUCGUCUUUUUUAAUUUUUAGCGACUUUGAGUUUGUAUUAUAAUGAUAUACUCUAUCAAUUUAAAUGAAUGAAUAUCACGUUUUUUUUGUAAAAAUCAAAUAAAAUAAAGAAAGUGCAUACAUUAACAUUACACAUACACGCGCACACGCUAGGGUAACACUUCAAUGCCUUUGGCUUUGGUGCCUUUGGGUGCCUUUGUUCCUAUAUCUCUUAAUCAUUCAUUCAUUCUCAUCUAAAUAAUUUAUUUUAAUUAUUUGUCCAACAUUCUUUCUCAUCUAAAGUGAGGUACUCAAAGACACCAAAACCAAAGGCCCUACCAUACACUAGUGACCGGAUUGUGAAAAAAACCAAAUUGACAUCUUUUCAUUUCACACCUCUUCUUUCAAUAACAUUUCCCUUUACCUAAUUAUAUUUUUUUUAGUAAAACCAGUCGCUUUUUGUGCCAAAAGAAAGAAAACAAAAAUGGUUUCUUCAAAUAAAAUACUAUAAUAAUUUGCAUCCAUAUUGCUAGCUAGUAGCUACUUUAAAUUAACACUUCACUCUACUUGUCUUUCUAUAUAUAUCUUUUUGCAUCAGGAACAUUAUUAGUUACCAAUAAAAAAAAUGGACAAGGAACUUCAACUUUGUUCUGUUGAUGCUGCUGAUGAAGAAGAAAUGGUUUCUCAGCAAAAACCACAAAGAAGCAAGGGUGGUCUUGUCACCAUGCCUUUUAUCAUUGGUAUCUUAUCUAAUAUCUAUGAUUUGCAUGCAUUUUUAUUUUAUUUUUACUUUGAAUGAGCUUGAAUUUUUACGUAUAAUAUGGUUUUGUUGCUGUUGUGAUUGUUUUAUUUGCAGGGAAUGAAGCACUUGCUAAGAUGGCAAGUGUGGGACUAUUACCCAACAUGAUAUUGUAUUUGAUGGGAUCAUACAGACUUCACCUUGGCAUAUCUACUCAGAUACUUCUUUUAUCCUCUGCAGCUAGCAAUUUCACACCUGUGAUUGGUGCUUUUAUUGCAGAUUCUUAUCUUGGUCGCUUCUUAGGUGUCGGAAUAGGUUCUUCUAUCAGUUUCCUGGUAUGAUUUACUUUUUUUUAAUUCCAUUGUGUUUUUCUUAUCUUUUGACUUGAAUAUGCCCAUUAUUAAGUUUAAUUUUGGGAGUGAGUUGAAUAGAUUUGAAUAAUUACUCAAUACAAAUUUUCAACUACGAAAAAUGACAAAAAAUGAAGUUUUAAGCUGAAAAUGACACUUUUUUAACUAAGGAAUUGACUACACAUCUUCCAUAUACCAACAGACGCUUUUAGCAACGGCCAUAAAAUUCAUACAGUAUACGGUGUGUCCGAUAUAUUGAAGAUCAUAGCCUACUUAUAUUGAAUUCAUUCAAAUUAAUUAAAUAUUUAAUUAAUUAUUAUAGUAAUUAAAUAAAAUAUUCAUCAGAUAUAUUUCCUUGUAUGAAAAAGAAGCAUACAAAGGAAAAAUGUUCCACCAAACUUGGUAUAAUGAGAAAAUUUUGUAAUGAUGCUCUUUUUUGUUUGUUGUUAUAGGGAAUGUCACUGUUGUGGUUAACAGCCAUGAUCCCGGCGGCACGGCCUUCUGCUUGCAACCAUCCAUCUGAAGGUUGUGAAUCAGCAACACCAGGUCAAUUGGCAAUGUUAUUCUCUGCCUUAAUUCUGAUAGCAAUUGGAAAUGGUGGUAUUACAUGUUCUUUAGCAUUUGGUGCAGACCAAGUUAAUAGAAAAGAUAAUCCCAAUAACUAUAGGGUUUUGGAAAUAUUCUUCAGUUGGUAUUAUGCUUUCAUAACUAUAGCUGUCAUAAUAGCUCUCACCGGAAUAGUAUAUAUCCAAGAUCAUCUUGGUUGGAGAAUUGGUUUUGGUGUUCCAGCAGCACUCAUGCUUAUAUCCACUGUCUUGUUCUUUCUUGCUUCUCCACUUUAUGUGAAAAUUACACAAAGAACCAGCUUGCUCACUGGUUUUGCACAAGUAUCUGUUGCUGCCUAUAAAAACAGAAAACUUUCAUUGCCACCUAAAACAUCUCCUGAAUUUUACCAUCACAAGAAAGACUCAGACCUUGUUAUUCCAACUGAUAAACUAAGGUAUAUAGAAUCAAAUUACUAGCUAUACCAUCUUUUUAGCUUUUGUGUUUCGUGGUUAAAUAUAGACUAAUGAUGAAUACUUCCUCCAAUCUCUAUUAUAAGAGAAAAUUCACUUUUAAAGUUCAUUCAAUAAAUGAUGUAUAUGUAGUUUCUAAUAUACUCCCUCCGCUCUUAUUUAUAAGAAACAAUUGAUUUUUUUGAUUCAUUGAAUAAAUUAUGUAUUUGGUCUAUAUUUAGACAAGAUACAUCAAUUACUCAGUAAAUCUAAAAAGUCAAAAAUUUCUUAUAAAUAGGACCGGAGGGAGUAGACCAUAUAAAUCAUUUAUUGAAUGAAUCUAAAAAGUGAAUUUUCUCUUAUAAUAGAGACCAGAAUAGUAUAUAUCAGGUGUUGAAAUUUAUUAAUCAUCAAAAUAACUUCAUUAACCACAAAUUUGAAUGUGAUUAAGGAAAAUUUUCAAAGGUUCAAUAAAGUUACAUUGCUAGUUAUUGAGUUUCAACACAUGGUUUAUUCAUUCACCAUCUAUAAAUUGAGCAUAAUUAACCACUAAUUUGUACCAUGUUAAUGUUUAUGGUGUUGUUGCGAAAAUUGCCUAAACUUUGUUACACAAAAACCAUUUCCCAUAUUAAACAUUUGAUUUCAUUUUCAGGUUUCUAAAUAAAGCUUGUGUUAUUAAGGAUCAUGAACAAGAUAUAGCCUCAGAUGGUUCAGCGAUAAAUCGUUGGAGUCUAUGCACAGUAGAUCAAGUUGAAGAACUAAAAGCCAUUAUUAAAGUUAUUCCAUUGUGGUCAACAGCGAUCACAAUGUCUAUUAACAUUGGAGGCUCAUUUGGAUUGCUGCAAGCUAAAUCCUUAGACAGACAUAUCAUUUCAAGUUCAAACUUUGAAGUACCAGCAGGAUCUUUUUCUGUUAUCUUGAUAGUUGCAAUAUUAAUAUGGAUAAUUAUCUAUGAUCGUGUUCUUAUUCCUUUAGCAUCAAAGAUAAGAGGGAAGCCCGUAAUUAUCAGCCCAAAGAAAAGAAUGGGAAUUGGGUUGUUUUUUAAUUUUCUUCACUUGAUAACUGCAGCAAUUUUUGAGACUGUAAGGAGAAAGGAAGCAAUCAAAGAAGGAUAUUUGAAUGAUACUCAUGGAGUGUUGAAAAUGUCUGCAAUGUGGCUUGCACCUCAACUUUGUUUGGCUGGUAUAGCAGAAAUGUUCAAUGUUAUUGGCCAGAAUGAGUUUUAUUACAAAGAGUUUCCAAAGAGUAUGUCUAGUGUUGCUGCUUCCCUUUCUGGAUUGGCAAUGGGUGUAGGAAACUUGGUAUCCUCUUUAGUAUUGAGCAUUAUAGAAAGCACUACUCCAAGUGGAGGAAAUGAAGGGUGGGUUUCUGAUAAUAUUAACAAAGGUCAUUUCGACAAGUAUUAUUGGGUUAUAGUUGGAAUUAAUGCUCUAAAUCUAUUGUAUUACUUAGUAUGCAGUUGGGCUUAUGGACCUACAGUUGAUGAAGUAUCCAAUGUGAGUAAAGAAAAUGGUUCCAAAGUGGAAGAAUCAACUGAAUUCAAGCAUAUGAAUCCACACUUUGAUGACAAGGUUAGUGGUGAAACUAGUUCAAAGGAGAAAGAGUUAACUGAAUUCAAGAAUGGGGCCCAGGUUGAGAAAGUAUUCAAGAAUAGUGAACAAAGGGACUUGAAGGAGGAAGAUUUGUGAUAGAAGGCUUAUAUUUCGUCCAAUUCAUUUGGAGAAAUGUUAUAAACGCUUUUUUUAACACUCCUAACACCUCAUCUUUUAUUUGAUGAAAUUCACGUGGGACUCAUCAUUGUAUGAGGGAUUCAUUUUUAAAGCGUGGGAUCAACAUGUGUUUCACCCAAUAAUAAAAUGGUGUUAGAGAGUGUUAGAAGAAUGUGUCCAUAACACUUCUCAUUCAUGAAUUAUUAUUUUUUUUUAGGAAUUUUAGUUAGCAUAUUUUUUAUUUUUAUUUUGGUAUAUUGGUAUUUUCUUAUGGACCUUAUUAUGACACAUGGAUGUGAGCAUUUAUUUAGAGUAGUAAGUAAUGUCAAUAAAUUUGAUUUGAUAUCUUUAUCUAUAGCAUUUGAUAUGAUAUAUUUUACUUUCAGUUGUUACAUCGAAUUAGAAAGUAUAAUAACGAAUACUCUAUUAUCUAAUAUAUUUUAGGAAAGUAAAUUAUUUACAACAAUGACUGAAAUCAAUUCUUAAUUAACAUCCUCGAAUUGAUAUGGUUGCUCAAUAAACAUCAAUUUGCUUACAACAAAUUGAUAACAUAGGUGUCAAUAACCACCUUGCUAUUAAGUAGUCAUCAUAGGUGCCACGUUGAAUGAUAAACGACUUUGAUAUGAUUGGUGUGUUCAUGAAAGACAAGACUUUCAACAACUUGGGUGAACACUUGUGUUGUCGACUUAAAGAGAUAUUGGUCAUGUUUGAGGAUAUCCAAGUUCAACCAAAAGACCUUGAAAACAAAUUAUUUGCGAACAAGCAGCAGACAUGACACGUUACUCAUAUUUAGUAGAAGAUUUAGAGUCUCUUACUUGCUUUUUAUUUGUCAAUUAUAUCAAAGAAGCAAAGAAACAUGCACAAGUUUGUGACAGAUCGUUGAAUGUCAAAACACCCUCCUCCCCUCUGUUUAAGAGUUAUCCAAGUGGGAAAGAAUAUACCACAAUGAGAGGUUACGUUAAAGUAGCGAAUUAUACGACGAACCAUUGUCAAAUGAUGAUGGAGAGGAGUGAUGCCAGCAUGUCAUAUCAUGUUUUUAGCAGUUAUUAGAAGUCACUUCACAGUUAUUUUAACAAGUUUCAAUAUGUUUUAGUUGAGUUUUGUAACAAAUCAAACGAAAGAUCAUGGAAAGGGUAAUGAUGCAUACAAAACCUUGGAACCAUGACAAAUCACCCAAAAGAGACAACUAUGUGGUCAUGCUAUACUUUUCACGUGAUGUAUCAAAUGAUCCAAGAUAUAUAGAGGAACCGACUACUAGUAAAAAAAAAAAACUAAGAUUUUUACUUAAAUACCCUUGUCAUCAUAUAAUUGCUAAACCCUUUUCGGCUAUUACCAAAACCAUUUCGAUUCAGCAGCCACCGUCGUCCCUCUCUAACGUUCGUGAAGUGUGUCAUUCCCAAUAAUUAUUAAGGUAUUUUCAUUUAUUUAAUUUUCCAUACUUUAGCUUAAUCAUGUCUUUUAUUUAGCUGAUGAAUCCUACACAAAUGCUUAAACUAUUAAUUACUUCAAAUGUUUGUAUCAAAUGUUUGUUGUUGUCUUAUGUGGAUUGACUUAUUAGAGCUUAUCCAGCGGCAUGACAUGAAUAAUUGUUUCAGACAACUUAUGAAAACAGCUUAGGACAUUUUCAUAGGUUGUUUUCAGCUUAUUUUCAUAAGCUCACGGAGAUAGCUUAUACAUAUCAUGAUAGAUACUUAUGAUAUAAGCUGCAAAUUAACUGUACGUUUGGUUUCACUUUUGGAGGUGUUAAAAUUGAUUCUAGAUGUGUAGAAUUGAUUUUGACAUGUUUGGAUAUUGAUUAGUAGAAUUGAUUCUACUUGAAGCUAGAAUUUGUAGCUUCUUGCUUUUACAAUUGAUUUUAGCAUUGAAUUUAUUGUUCAAUUCAUUUUUUACACAAAUAUAUCCAAACAUAAAUCACUUUACACUCGACUAACAUUUAGUUAGAAUCAAUUUUACAAAAUUAGUUCAUUCAGAAUCAAUUUGUGUCUCUGUAGAACCAUACACAUACUAAGCUGUUUUUCCAAACAGGGCCUUAAGUUAUACUAUCAUAGUGAGUCCAUUGCUUGUUCUUCUCAUAUUUUGAUUUCAGUUUCCAACUGUCAUACUGGAUUCGAUAGUAGGUUUCAUCUGAGUUGUACUUUGGCUUAUUUUUUAGGUUUGUUUGUAAAAGAUGAGUUUAAUAUCUCAAAAUGCUCGCUCUAGAAAUGAGACCAAAAGAGAGGAGGACCUUAAGGCAAAAGAAGUUGAAGAUGGUCAAGAUUAUGAUGUUGAUACCGUAGAAGUGAAAAAGAGGAAGUUAGACGGAAAGGAAGAACAUUUGGCAAAAGAACAAGUUAAAGAGAUGAAAAAACUUGAGAGCUUUUUGUUUGGGUCUCUCUACUCCCCUCUUGAAUUUGGAAAUGGGGAUGACGAUGAAGGGGAAGCCAUGACUGCUGCAAAGGCUUCCAAUUUGUUCUUCACUGACCGUUCUGCUGAUAGUGGCCUCACUGUUUACCAAGAAGAUUCUGACUUCUCGGAUGGAAGUUGUGGUGACGAUGCUUUGCGAAAAAAGCCGGUUUGGGUGGAUGAGGAAGAAGAGAAAGUCACUGUUAACAUAGCCAAAGUUAACAGAUUAAGGAAGUUAAGGAAGGAAGAGGACGAGAAUGUGAUAUCUGGUUCAGAGUAUGUGUCAAGAUUGAGGGCUCAACAUGUGAAGCUCAACCGAGGAACUGACUGGGCCCAGCUUGAUUCAGGGUCAAAAAUGGAUGGAUCUUCUGAUGAUGAAUUGACAGAUGAUGGAAAUAAUGUUCUUGUGAGCCGAGGUUAUGAGGAUCUGGAUGAUAUUCUCAGAACAAAUGAAGACUUGGUUGUGAAGAGCAGCUCAAAAUUGUUGCCAGGUCAUAUUGAAUACUCGAAACUUGUAGAUGCAAACAUUCAGGAUCCUUCUAAUGGUCCCAUUAAUUCGGUUCAGUUCCAUCGAAAUGGUCAGCUGCUUCUUGCUGCUGGAUUAGACCGGAAUCUUAGAUUCUUUCAAAUCGAUGGCAAACGGAACACCAAAAUUCAAAGCAUCUUCCUUGAAGAUUGCCCCAUUCGAAAAGCAUCUUUCUUGCCCGAUGGGUCUCAGGUGAUAAUAUCUGGAAGAAGAAAGUUCUUUUAUAGUCUUGAUUUAGUUAAGGCUAGAGUUGAUAAAAUUGGUCCGCUGUUGGAUAGGGAAGAGAAGAGUAUUGAAGUUUUUGAGGUCUCUCCUGAUUCCAAAAUGAUAGCCUUUGUGGGUAAUGAAGGUCAUAUUUUACUGGUUUCAACAAAAUCAAAGCAAUUAGUUGGUACUCUGAAGAUGAACGGAACAGCCCGUGCGUUAGCUUUUACUGAAGAUGGACAAAAGUUGUUGAGCACUGGUGGCGAUGGCCAUAUUUACCAUUGGGAUCUGAGAACAAGGACUUGUAUGCACAAAGGUGUAGAUGAAGGCUGUUUAAACGGCACAGCCAUUUGUACUUCUCCAGUAGGGACACAUUUUGCAGCUGGUUCGGCCAGUGGAGUUGUGAAUAUUUACAAUAGUGAGGAAUUUCUCGGGGGAAAGAGAAAACCUAUCAAGACCAUUGAUAACCUGAAUACUGAAGUGGAUUUCAUGAAAUUUAAUCAUGACUCUCAAAUAUUAGCAAUCUGUUCAAGGGCAAAGAAUAGUAGUUUGAAAUUAAUACAUAUACCAUCCUACACUGUUUUCUCUAACUGGCCUCGUUCAAAUGCGAGCCUGCAUUAUCCCCGUUGUAUUGAUUUUAGUCCAGGUGGUGGUUUUAUGGCUGUAGGAAACGCAUCAGGCAAAGUGUUACUCUAUAAGUUGCAUCAUUAUCACCAUGCCUAAAGUAGAUUAGAAAUACUGGCAGAGUUUUUGUUGUCUUUUCUUUAUUUGAAGUGUUGUAACAUUUUUGAGACUUGAGUUGUAUUCUAUCAUUAAUUAAUCAACAUUUUUUUCUGCGUCAAAUAACCAGAACUUCAUCUGUUGUCUUGUAUUUUCUUACGCCUACUCAAUCUGUAUAUGAAAUGCACAUGCUUUUGUUUACUCCCCCUUCCCAACUUAGAUUCAGCGAUAAUGGGGGACUGCGAUAGCUGGAACCCGAAGACCAAGUGCAGCGGCAUUUGUGUGAAAAAUGUGUCCCCCUUGGAUUUGCCCAACCAUGGUUUCACUGCUAAUGUUAUAUGCCGCGGACAUUUGUGGUUAAUAUUGUCUACAUGUCAGAUUUAUUUUCAUAGUAAAACCAUAUAAACAUGGGAUAUGUGAUUGAACGAUCAUGACUUAAACUUUAUCAUUCAUUUUGACGUAAUUUCAUUAUAUAUGACAAUUUAGAAUGAGAAAGCGAUAUUCGACUGUUUAUCGGUUUAAAGCUUCCUUCAAAAGCAUAUAUAUAAUUCAAGAGUGGAUAUGAGAAUCAACAGGGGAAUUACAUUUUUUUUUUUUUCCUUAUGCGAUUGCAGUUGUUUUUUACGGAAGGGAUUACAUAGUUUUAUUGCUCAUAAUCUGCUUUUCACUUUUAGGGAGAGAGUGAAAGCUAAUAAAAGAGGACAUAUAUAUGGCGAGAGUUUUAAAAGAGAACACAUGAUUCUUAAAAGUAAAUAAUUCUUAGCCUUUAGAUUAAUAAAAAAAAAUAAAGGGAUAGAAUUCGAAGUCAAAUUUGACACAUUGUGACAAUUGAUCCUAUAUGUACAUGAGUGUGUGAGUGCGCAUGUGUGCUGAACGAUCAUAACACCUUCAUCAAUUUGAUAAGUAGUGUUCCAUUUUAAAACUUUGACAAUGACAUGCCUUCACUUAUCUAGAUGUUGGUAGUUUGUAUUGACGUUGUUUGGAGUUGCAUAUUGUUUAGGUUCUCAAACUCUUGGGUGUAUAUAUGUGUUUGAAUACACUCAUCUUUUAAAUAUAUUUUUAAAAUGAGAUUUAAAUUCAUUUAAUAUGAUUGAAGUCGGGGUUGGUAGAAUGGUAUAGUCAUUGUUUUCUUGUUUAACAUGAUAGAUUAAGGAAUAACCAUUGGUUCCACUAAAGCAUUAUCUUGAAAUAUCCUAUAUAUCAAAAUGAUUUUUUUUAUUAGACCAAAAUGAUCUUAAACAUGCUUUUAAUAUUUUCAGGAAGCUUUAUUUUUAGGGGUGUAACAGUUUGAUUUGAAUCGAUUUUCAGUAAAAUAAUAUCGAUCCCAUGUUUAAUUUGAUUCAAUUUUCACCGUUUUAAAAACUGAAAUCAAACCAAACUAACCGGUUUAAUUCGAUUUGCUUCGGCCUGUGGAUCUGUUUGGUGCCACUAAAAUACAAAUUUUAUUUACCAUUUCAACUUCACUAAAUUUUGAUGCAAAUAAUUUAUUCAAAGAGAAGAGUCAAUGAACGUAUUUAAACUCAUAAUUGACACUUAGGCUCUAAAAUCAAGGCACAAAACAAGUAUAAUGCAACUCACUCCAAAUAUUUUCCAAAAUUUUCAUAACAUCCAAUCAGGAUAGAUAUUAAAUGUCAAGUUUAAUUAGGAUUUAGAGUUGAGACCCCUUUUCAUUUCUCAAAGAGACCAAAAACCCAAUUUAUGAGAGCGAAAUAGACACACAUGAGAUAUUGAUAAGACUCACUUUUAACAAUAUCUAAAAUAAUAUGUCCUACAAUAUUUCACUUGUGUUUAUCUUUUUCAUAAACUUUGUUCUACAUUUUUUGAAGAUAUAGGGAAAAAUUCAUCUCCAACGAUCUACAUUUUGUGUCCAAAAGAUUCUAAAUCAUCCAUUUCAUGUUUUAAAAGUUCAAAAAAUUGUUUUUUUCAAUAAGCAUUUAUAAUUUUAGAUUAUUUAUUAUGUUUCUGAAAACAAAAGUCAACAAUAACUUUGUUUCAAACAACCGUUAACAAUAACUUGUAAGUUUUGAAAACACAAGUUAACAAUAACUUUGUUUCAAACAACAGUUAGCAAUAACCUAUUAAAAACAAAUAAUUUAUGAUGACAAGGAAAAAGGUGCAGAUGCAAAUCAACAUCAUUCCAUGAAUGUAAGGUGUGAAACCAAGUUGAGAGAUUUGAGAAUUUGGCAAACAACAAUUGUAGGCGGGACGGUAGUGAUGGUCUACCACUUACUCAUCAAGUCAAAAUUUCACAUUAUUUUAUAUUAUUGUAAUAUCUUAGACAUUUAUCAAAGAAAUAAUUGUUUGUAAAGCAUAACUCAACUGACAAUGUCGAAGUUGUAAAGUUGGAUGCCUUUAUCCAGAAUUUUAAAGUAUGUGUGAAUUUUAGUGGUAUUCAUCAUUUCAUCUACAUACAAAAAAAAGGUUUAAUUUACCUAUAUUAUCAAUCAAAAUAUUUUAAUAAUCAAUCACAUAGUCACAUAAUUCACAAUUCGUGUUGGUACGUGGUACGUUUCCUCUUACGCAACAUGAGAAAAACUCAGUAUGUAUCGGUUCACAGUACUAGUACUAUCUUGAUUAAAUAUAAUAAGCUAUUUUAAUAUUGCAAAAAAGUUGCUAACGAUACGUUGAUUCUUGGAGUAAAGAGUUGGGCGAACAUUCAGGCUAUGCGAGCGGUUUUAGUUUUUUUGAGGCUAUAUCUGGCUUGAAAGUAAAUUUUCAUAAAAGCAUGUUGGUGGGUGUCAAUGUCUCUGAUUCCUGGUUGAAUGAGGCUUCCUCUGUCCUCCAUUGUCGAGUGGGGAAAGUGUCGUUUGUAUUUGGGUCUCUCUAUUGGUGGUGAUUUGCGUCGAUUGAUUUUUUGGGAACCUCUUUUGCGUAGCAUUAAAUUGAGACUGUCACGUUUCAAUGGUCGGUUUUUAUCGUUUGGUGGCCAGUUAGUUCUCCUAAAUUCUGUAUUGACCUCUCUUCCUAUUUAUGCUCUUUCCUUCUUCAAGGCUCCGUCAGGUAUAAUUUCUUCCAUUGAUUCUAUUUUUUCUAAUUUUUUUUUUUUUUUUGGGGGGGGGGGGGGUGAUGUGAGGAUCAUAGGAAACUCUCUUGGGUUAGUUGGACCACUAUUUGUUCUCGGCAGGAGUUUGGAGGUUUGGGGGUGCAGAAGAUGAGGGAGUUUAAUGUUGCGUUGUUAGGUAAAUGGUGUUGGCGGUUAUUGGUAGAGAGGAGUAGUUUAUGGUAUAGGGUUUUGAUGGUGAGGAGGGUGGGAGGUUGGGGGCCAGAGUGGUUCUUCUUGGUGGAGAGAAAUCGCUAACAUUAGGGAUGGGGUGGCGGUUUCUGGUGGGUGACGGGGUAGAUACUUUAUUUUGGCAUGAUAUGUGGGUUGGUGAUGUGUCGUUUUGUGUGCGCUUCAGGUGCCUUUUUGACCUUGCGAUAGAUAAGUCUUGUUCGGUUGCGUACAUGUUCUCUAAUGGGUGGGGGUGUUGGGGAGAGGGAUGGAGAUGGAGGCGGCGGUUGUGGGUGUGGGAGGAUGAGAUGCUGGGGGAGUGUAUUAUUUUACUUCGUAAUUGAUGACAGUCAAUCAUUCGUUAUUUUUAGAGUCUUUUUAUGAUAUUUUUGAGUUCACAAGCAAGAUUAAGCAGCAAGAAAAAACUGAAGAAGCUGAAAAAGAGCAUCGUGUCACGAUUACUGAAAAACGUGUCCCGAUUUGGAGCUUUCAAGAAAUAUGUAUUCGACAUUGGUAAAAACAUGUCACGAUGGCGAAAACGUGACACAAUUAUGGGAACCCUAAUUUGGGUGGUUUGUUACAGAAGGCAGAAACGUGUCAUGAUUUACUUAAAUCGUGCCACGAUUUUAGGAGCAGUUCUUGCCUAUUUAAGCUGAAGACUAUUCUGAAAACAAGGGUUACAAAUUGGAGAGAGUCAAGUGGGAUUUUGAGACCUAAAGACGGCUAGGAGGGCGAUUUCUUCAACCUUCUAUCAGUACAUGUAUGUUUUGAUUCCACUAUUGAUUAUGCUAUUUGUAAAUUCAAUUAUGAGUAGCUAAAUCUCUUAGAGAUUAGGUCUGAGAUGAUUCUUUGUAACCCUAAUUGAACCAUGUUGUUGUGAAACUCUAUUUAUUGUGAAUAACAAUCUAGUUUUUAUUCAAUUCAAUUGUUCUUAAUGCUUUUUAUAUCUGAUCAAAUAUAAACAUGAUUUAGUGAGAAUGAAUGACUACUGACCAUAGCUUUCUACUUAGACAGAAUUGAACUGUUCUAAUAAACAGGGUUAGUCUAGGAAUGGAUAAUCGUUUGUUAGUGAUAUUAGGUUAGCGUGCUUAAACCUUCAAAGAUUAUUAGACCACCUAAGGAAUUAGGGACUAUAGUUUGAGACGAGGGUCCUAAGUUAAAGGAUUGAUUAUGACUAUUUUGUUAACUAUCGUGGAACUAGAAAAUCAUUCAUAAGAAUAGGUGCAAUAUACCAAUUAGGGGAACAUAGAUGAUUCGAAAGACCUGAUCUCAUCUCUCUUCAUAUUUUCUAACCAAAUCUAUAUUUUCUAACUGAAUCUUUAUUUUAUGUUAUUUAAUUUUAUGCAAUCAAAUCAAAUCUAAACAAAAUAAUUUAUACAUCCUAAAUAUUUACUUUAUUGCUAAAUUGAGAUUAACACAGUCCUCGUGGAUACGAACUUAUUUUAUUACUUCGAUAUAUUUUUAGUACACUUGCUAAAAUUCUAUCAGUAAUGUUUCUUUGCAGUUUAAUGUGAAAGAUACAUGGAGAUGGGCGCUAGAUCAUUCUGCAGGUUAUACAGUCAGGAGUGCCUAUCAGUUGUUGACUUCUCAGGAUAGCCAUCAGGUGGAAGGUGUUGGUGCUUUGGUUUGGCACAAUCAUGUUCCGCUUAAGGUCUCAAUUUUUGCUUGGAGGUUGAUGAAGAAUCGUUUGCCUUUAAGGCAAAAUCUGGUGCAUCGUGGUAUCCUUUGACACCGCUGCUGGUUGUUUGUUAGGGUGCGACGCUUUAGAGUCUUCUCAGCAUUUAUUCAUUUCUUGUGAUUAUUAUGGCACGUUGUGGUCUCGGGUUCAGUCUUGACUUGGUAUCUCAGGUCCAGAUCCCAUUAUUGUUUCAGAGCACUUCCUUCAGUUUACUCAUUCAGCAGGUGGGGUGCGAGCUCGGCGCUCUCUUAUGCAGCUUGUUUGGUUGCUUUGUGCGUGGAUCAUUUGGAAUGACUGUAAUCAAAGGUUGUUUAAUAAUAUAGGUAGUUCCAUUGAUUAGUUGUUGGAUAAAGUGAAGCGACACUCUUUGUGUUGGCUAAAAGCUAGUAAUGUCGUUUUUGUUUUUGGUUCUGAUUUGUGGUGGUCAAGGCCCUUGGAUUGUUUGGAUCUUGCCUAAUUUUUGUUGGACACCUUGUACUAGGGAGAGUUCUUGGUUUGUUAAUAUAUAAGUUUCAUUUUUGUUUGUUCAAAAAAAAUAUUGAAAAAAAGUAAAAAAAAUUAUAGUAGCCACAUCAAACUAGUGUCCACUUUCCGAAGUAUUUUUUUUAUAUUCACUUUUUUCUUUUUUACGGUGUUAUUUUGCAAGAGACGUUCUCUUUCUCCAAACUUUAAAUAGGUUUUCCCGCAAAAAUUAUUUGCUACAACAGAGGUUUUUCUUUCUCUUUUAUUUCCUACUAAACCUAUUCUUCAUCUUUCUUUGAUCUUUACCGUUUGUCUCGGUUUGUCAGUUUUCAUGAAUUACAAGAGACUUUGUAUGAAUCAUUUCGCGAAAGUACCACAAACUGGUACGCAAGUAACAAUUUGAGAUUCGCAACAUUAUUAAGAGAAUUAUGUGACUAUGAUCAAUUAAAACUUUUUAACUCUAAUCAUAACUACUUAUAAAAUCAUAAAUACAUACGACUGUUAUUUGUUUACGAGAAAUGAUAUUUGUACAUCUACUUUAUGACAACUUUCUCUCUCAUACUCACAUUAUGUUUUUAUUCUCUCUCUUCCUUUUUCUCUCUCCAUUGUUUUUGACCAAUGAAAAGUGAGAAAAAAGAAGUUGUACCAAAAGUUGUCUAAAAUGGUUGUUCAAAUAUCACCGCUCUUUGUUUACCGUGUAUAACCUAUUUCCACUUGCAAAGACUAUGGUUACUAAAUAAGUCAAAGUAUACACCUACAUGCAUCAUGUGAACAUGUGAGUGGGGUCAAGAUAUUUUAGUACAAUGAUUGAAUAAUAUUGUGUGGUCUUUUAAUGAGUUUGUAACUUGUAUACAAAUUUUAUUAAUAAAGAACCUUUUUGAUGAUAAUAGGACACACAGAGGGACAGUGCAUUACAGAUAUGCAUUUUUAGCAAAUGCAUUCACACCACAUGAACACGCAAAAACGUUUGCAAUUCGCAAGCAUCGACAUCUUUUCACACCAAACUUCAAUCAAAAUCCAAUUAUUUGCAUGGACAUUGCUACUUUAAAUAAACACUUCACUCUUCUUGUCUUUCCAUCUUCCUUUUACAUAUAUACGAUAGGAAGGAAUAUCUUGGUUUGGUAGUGACAUUACAAUAAAAAAACAUGGACAAGGAACUUCAACUUUGUUCUGUUGACGAUGAUGAAAUGGUUUCUCAACAACCUCAAAGACGCAAGGGUGGUCUUAUCACCAUGCCUUUCAUCAUUGGUCUGUUAUCUAUCUAUCCGUUUAUCUAUAUAUCUAGUACAUAUCACUCUAUUAAACUAUGGAGUCAUCGUCGAUCUCUCUGAUUCAGCAGAGAUGGACGAUGACUUAGGUGUUACUAGUGUAAUCUUGAACAAGAUCUUUACUAGUUAUACUUAUACUUGGUCAUUCACAUUAAAGAGAAUAUUUGGAUUGAAUUUUGUUGUAUAAUAUAUGGUUUUAUUGUUGCAGCUAAUGAGGCACUUGCAAGGAUGGCAAGUUUGGGACUAUUGCCCAAUAUGAUAUUGUAUUUCAUGGGAAGUUACAGGCUUCAUCUUGCCAAAGCUACUCAGAUUCUUCUCUUAUCCUCUGCAGCUAGCAAUUUCACACCUGUGGUUGGUGCUUUUAUUGCAGAUUCUUAUCUCGGUCGGUUCCUCGGUGUUGGAUUAGGUUCAUUUGUCAGCUUCCUGGUAUGUAUAGAUAUUCAUUUUUCCUCUACUUUGUAUUCUUUCUUACUCCAUUGUGUUUUUCUUAUCUUUUGACUUUAAUGAAUAUGCAUAUGAAUUCAGUUCAAUUGUUUCCUUGGUACUUUUGUUCAACAAUGAUAGAUUGAAGCUUUUUGAGUAAUUUGUUUUUUUAGGUGGGUGAGGUUGAGAUUUUCUAAAAGAGAAGGAAAAGUUGAUAAUUUUGUUUCUGAUAUGAUUACAACAAUACAAUAGAAAAGUUGAUAAUUAUUAAUGUAUGUAUGUAUGAGAUUCUGUUAAAAGUCUAAUAGUAUUCCUUUUUUUUUUUUUUUUUCAUGAUUGAAAAUUGGAUGUUGAGAUGGUGAUAUUAAUAUAUUCCCUUGUAUGAAAAAGAAAGAAUUACAAAAAGGGAUAAAAUUCCAUCAAAUCUUGGUAGGUAUAUUCAAUUAAUAUUCUGAAAUUAGUUCUGUAAUGAGAAAAGUGUGCAAAAAUGCCUCUCUUUAUUGAGUUUUUGAUAUCAUUAACUGCAAUACAAUGGAAAAGUUUAUCUGAUAAAGUAUGAGAUUCUGCUCAAGUCUCAUCUGAUUCCUUAUUAUGAUUCAAAACUAAGAUGUUGAUAUAGUGAUAGAUUCCCUUGUAUGAAAAAGGUAGAAUCAUAAAAAGGGAAAAGUUCCAAAAAAUUUGGUAGGCAUAUUCAAUUUCAAUCAAUAUUCUGAGCCAAAAUUAGUGCUGUAAUGAAAAAAGUUGGUAACAAUGUUUCUUUUUUCUUUUUGUAAUAGGGAAUGGGAAUGUUGUGGUUAACAGCCAUGAUCCCAGCGGCACGGCCGCCUCCGUGCAACAAUCCAACAAAAGGCUGUAAAUCAGCAACAACAGGUCAAAUGGCAAUGUUACUCUCCGCCUUUGGUCUCAUGUCAAUAGGAAAUGGUGGUCUUUCAUGUUCCAUAGCAUUUGGUGCAGACCAAGUGAAUAGAAAAGAUAAUCCCAAUAAUCAUAGGGUUUUGGAAAUAUUCUUCAGUUGGUAUUAUGCUUUCACAACUAUUUCUAUCAUACUAGCUCUCACUGUAAUUGUAUAUAUCCAAGAGCAUCUUGGUUGGAAAAUUGGUUUUGGUGUUCCAGCAGCACUCAUGCUUUUAUCUACUAUCUGUUUCUUUCUUGCUUCUCCUCUUUAUGUCAAGAUCACAAAAAGAACCAGCUUGAUUACUGGUUUUGCACAAGUCACUACUGCUGCUUAUAAGAACAGAAAACUUCAAUUACCACCUAAGAACUCACCUCAAUUUUACCAUCACAAAAAGGACUCAGAUCUUGAUCUUGUUAUUCCAACUGAUAAACUAAGGUAUAUAGAAUUAAAUUACCAUCCUUUUAGCUUUUGUAUAUUCUGUAUAUGUGGAUUAAAUCAGUUUUGUUAUUUGAACAAAUACACUUUGACAAUUUUUGCGACAAUAAUCUAAGUGGUUAUCACAGUUCUAAUAGGUGGAUAAUUACAUUGAGUAGAUGAUGUCGAUACUCAUUAACCAUUAAAGUAACUUCAUUAAUCACAAAUUUGGGCAUGAUUUACCACAGUUUUUAGAGGUUCAAGUUAACAUGUACUUUAAGACCUGAUACGUCCAAAUUUGUGGUUAAUGAUGUUAUUGGUGGUUAAUGAGUUCCAAACUUGGUAUAUCCAUUAACCAUCUACCGAGCGUAAUUGACGAAUAAUUUGAACCGCAUUAAACAUAUACAAAGCUGUUAAGAAAGCAGUCUAAAUUUGGUUGUAUGAAAAUCAUUUCUUAGAUUAAACAUUUGAUUUCAUCAGCUUAUUCUUUUCAUUUUCAGGUUUCUGAACAAAGCUUGUGUUAUUAAGGAUCAUGAAAAAGAUAUAGCCUCAGAUGGUUCAGCAAUAAAUCCUUGGAGACUCUGCACAGUAGAUCAAGUAGAAGAACUAAAAGCCCUUGUUAGAGUUAUUCCAUUAUGGUCUACAGGGAUCAUGAUGUCUCUUAACAUUGGUGGAUCAUUUGGAUUGCUGCAAGCUAAAUCCUUAGACAGACAUAUCACCUCAAACUUUGAAGUACCAGCAGGAUCUUUUAGUGUUAUCAUGGUAGGUUCAAUAUUUAUAUGGAUAGUACUCUACGACCGUGUUCUUAUUCCUCUAGCAUCAAAGCUAAGAGGGAAACCAGUUAGGAUCAGUCCAAAGAUAAGAAUGGGAAUUGGGUUGUUUUUAAAUUUUCUCCACUUGGUAACUGCAGCUGCUUUUGAGAGUAUAAGGAGAAAAAAAGCAAUUCAGGCAGGAUUUUUGAAUGAUACUCAUGGCGUGUUGAAAAUGUCUGCAUUGUGGCUUGCACCUCAACUUUGUUUGGGUGGUAUAAGCGAAGCAUUCAAUGCUAUUGGCCAAAAUGAAUUCUAUUACAAAGAGUUUCCGAGGACUAUGUCUAGUAUUUCUGCUUCCCUUUGUGGAUUGGGAAUGGCUGCAGGAAACUUGGUAUCUUCUUUU